AAAGCGCGCGUAGGUGGUUUGUUAAGUUGAAUGUGAAAUCCCCGGGCUCAACCUGGGAACUGCAUCCAAAACUGGCAAGCUAGAGUAGGGUAGAGGGUGGUGGAAUUUCCUGUGUAGCGGUGAAAUGCGUAGAUAUAGGAAGGAACACCAGUGGCGAAGGCGACCACCUGGACUCAUACUGACACUGAGGUGCGAAAGCGUGGGGAGCAAACAGGAUUAGAUACCCCUGU
rnacentral:rRNA from 1 species